CUCCAGUAAUUUAGCUGGACAUAGCUGUUGAGUGCAAAUGGCUUUCUAGAUUUCCCCAUACGCCCUUUCUGUCUGAAACCACUGAUAGUGCAGAGAAAAGGGGGGCAAAGAAGGCUUUCAUUCAGUGGAGUGGAAAUGCAUGUUCCUUGCGGCACACGGGCACACAUCUGUGGACAAGAUCGGCAGAUUCUUCUGGAGGGUCGCUUGGACCAAAAAGCAACAGAUUCUCCAAGUGAUGAAGUUGACAGAAGAUCCUGGGCUUCCAAGUUCUGAAGUAGGAGUGGCUCAUUCUUAGGUAGAUAGGAUUUCCGUCUGUCCUCUGGCUAAGCCUGAACCUCAGAUGUAGUGACAGAUUCUAGGUGGCUUUUUGUUUCGUUUUGUUUGUUUUAACUAAAUUUUUGAUGCUGUGAGGGGCCAAUUAGAGCUCAGGAAUAUUUUGUCUCAUGGGGUAAUGUGAGGAUGGCUGGACACUUUCAGCCCAGUGCUUAAAACUUAGCAGUGAGAGAAGGAAGUCCUCUACACAUCCCCAGAUGUGUGCCCUUCUCAUGACAGUAUGCCAUGAGGACUUCGUGUUUUCCAUCUAUUUCUAUGAAACAUAUUUACCCAGCAUUGUUAAUGUUCAAGCUGAGGCCAGAGAGAUAGGAUUCUUGACUGCUCCUGUAUUUUGUACUAAAACAGUUGUCAGUUCACAAAUAAGAAUUCUCACACUUGGAUGCACCAUAUUGAGAAGUUAUGAACUACUUGAUAAUAAAGACAAAGAAAGGGGAAAAUGAGAAAGAAGAAAAUAAAUCAUAUGGUAUGAACUUUUUAA
rnacentral:lncRNA from 1 species